rnacentral:antisense_RNA from 1 species
CGCUAUCAUCAUUAACUUUAUUUAUUACCGUCAUUCAGUUCUGAAUGUCUGUUUACCCCUAUUUCAAC